UGCGGAAGCCUGGUCUCCCCGCUCGGAGCGAGCAGUCUGCGCUUGUGAAGGCGAGGCUCGAGGCCGGCGACAGACCUCUCAGCGACAGAGGGAGGUUAGGCUGGCGGCAGCCGCUGUGUCUGGGGCCCUGUUUGGGAGACGAAAGGCAGAAAGCUGGCCCCAGGCCUCCAUGACGGACUGGCACCUCUCCAGGUACUGGCGGUGUAGCUCCAUGACCUGCUGGGAAAUGUAGUUCGGCUCCAAGUAGCCAACGGGUGACCGCCAGGCCCGGCGGUUGCGACGGGGCAGCCCCACUCCCAUCCCACCCACACGCCACCCCUGCGGCUCGGCCGGAUGUGGGCUGUCUCUCGGACCGGAAGAUCUGCGCGAGGCGGCGGCUGUUUCCUCCAGGGCGUCCAGUGUGGGUCAAAGGACUGCAGAGGCGACGCGGAUCUGGCAGGUGAUAUAAAGGCAGCGAGACAUUCUGACCAGUGUUUGCUCUGCCGCUGAAAACCACCCAGGCUGCUCAAGAUGUGAGCGGGAUCUCCCUGAGGACGUGGAUUUACUCGCAGCCUGACCCCUAGGAGAGUCGAUGGCACAUGGUUUGGAGAGGGCUGGGAGGGCACAACGCCUUUCCAGACACAUGGUCCUCCAGAUGUCCCACCCCUCACCUCCACAUACCGGCCUGCAGAGCAUCGGGCUCUACAUCCAACUUGAACUCAGCUGAACUUAGAACUCUUGAACCGGCGCUUGAACUCAGAACCCGGCGAUCAAAAGUCACAUGCUGUAUGGACUGAGCCAGCCAGGUUCCCUAAACACAUAUUUUGGACACCAUGCCAGGAUGCUGGAGAAAGAAGGGUGAAAAAGGCAUAGGUGUCCUUUGCAGCUCAUGGCCCAGUGUGGGGUUCUAGAAGUCGCUCCAGAGCUAACGCAAGUCGUAUGUGUGGUGAGCUGACUUCUGCCACAGUUAACUGCUUGUCUUUCUGCCUUCUGUCUUUCUGAUUUUUAUCCCCAACUUUUUGUUUUGAAAAAUUUCAAACCUAUGGAAAAGUUGAGAAGAGUUACCUGGAUUCACCAACUGUUCACAUCUUACAGUACUUGGUGAUUCUCUCUCUUACAUACACACAUGCAUGAACUUUUUUUUUCAUUUUUUCCCCCUCUGAACCAUUCGGUAAUGAAUCUCAAACAUUAUCAGAUAUUACUCCAAAUACCAGAUACCCUAAGUACUAAGAACGAGGAUAUAAGGAUACUAUUUUAUUUAUUUUAAUGUUUAUUUAUUUUUUGAGAGAGAGAAUGAGCAGGGGAGGGGCAGAGAGAGAGGGAGACACAGAAUCCAAAGGAGGCUCCAGGCUCUGAGCUGUCAGCGCAGAGCCCAACAUGGGACUCGAACCCGCAAACUCCAAGAUCGUGACCUGAGCCGAAGUCGGAUGCUUAACUGACUGAGCCACCCAGGCGCCCCAAGGAUAUUUUAAAUACUCAGAAUACAGUCAUCACACUCUGCAAAAUUAACAUCAUUAUCAUAGUUUAAUGAAUCCAUCAUCAGAUUUCUUCAGUUGCCAUGGUGAUAAUGUCCUUGACAGCUCUUCCCCCUUCCUGAUCCGGGGCUGAAUCAGAGAUCCUGCAUCACUUUUAGGUGUCACAUCUCUGUAGCCUGCUUGUAUCUAGAACACUCUCACACUUACCCACCUCUUAAAGUUCUGUGAAGACAAUGUUUUUGAAAAGUGCAUUCCAAGCAGAAUGUCCCUCAGUUUAGAUCUGUCUGGGUGUCUCCUUGUUACUAGACUGAGGGUACAUGCAGGCAUCCCCGGGAUGUCUCUAUUUUUUCUUUGUAAUUAAUAAGUAGCCCGAGUGUGUGGAAAUGUCUUUCACCCCAUGAUUUUGGCAUUUGGCGGCAAUCCUUUCCUAAAUCAUUUGCUACAAUGGUAUAUGCAAAGUGGUGACUUUUCUGUCACUUCGUCGUUGUCAUUUGCAAAUCCUGGUUUAAACUUUCUGUCUUUGUCAUGAAAUUUUCGGCUUACAGAUGUUUGGUUGGUAACACAGUUCCCCUCCAACGGUGCGUGCUCUGUACCAGGCACGGCUUGCUUUCUACGCAUGAUCUCCUGGAAUCUCUGCAGCACCCCUUAGGGCAGGAUUCAUCAUCCUCAUUUACAGCCAGGAUUAGUGGUUUAGCGACUUGCCCAGUGACUCAGCCAGGAUUCAAACUCCCUCUUUUAGCCACUUUGCAAUAUUGUCCAUCUGCAUGAUAUUUAUGUAUGUAUGUAUGUAUGUAUGUAUAUAUGUAUGUAUUUAUUGCUUAUUUUUUAGAGAGACGGAGACAGAAUGCGAGUGGGUUAGGGGCAGAGAGAGAGGGAGACA